rnacentral:rRNA from 1 species
CACGUAGGGUGCGAGCGUUGUCCGGAAUUAUUGGGCGUAAAGAGCUCGUAGGCGGUGUGUCGCGUCAGCCGUGAAAACCUGCAGCUUAACUGUGGGCUUGCGGUCGAUACGGGCAUCACUGGAGUUCGGCAGGGGAGACUGGAAUUCCUGGUGUGGCGGUGAAAUGCGCAGAUAUCAGGAGGAACACCGGUGGCGAAGGCAGCAUACUGGGCCUGUACUGACGCUGAGACGCGAAAGCGUGGGGAGCAAACGGG